rnacentral:rRNA from 1 species
GCCAUACCGCGUGGGUGAAGAAGGCCUUCGGGUUGUAAAGCCCUUUUGUUGGGAAAGAAAAGCAGUCGGCUAAUACCCGGUUGUUCUGACGGUACCCAAAGAAUAAGCACCGGCUAACUUCGUGCCAGCAGCCGCGGUAAUACGAAGGGUGCAAGCGUUACUCGGAAUUACUGGGCGUAAAGCGUGCGUAGGUGGUUGUUUAAGUCUGUUGUGAAAGCCCUGGGCUCAACCUGGGAAUUGCAGUGGAUACUGGGCGACUAGAGUGUGGUAGAGGGUAGUGGAAUUCCCGGUGUAGCAGUGAAAUGCGUAGAGAUCGGGAGGAACAUCCAUGGCGAAGGCAGCUACCUGGACCAACACUGACACUGAGGCACGAAAGCGUGGGGAGCAAACAGGAUUAGAUACCCUGGUAGUCCACGCCCUAAACGAUGCGAACUGGAUGUUGGGUGCAAUUUGGCACGCAGUAUCGAAGCUAACGCGUUAAGUUCGCCGCCUGGGGAGUACGGUCGCAAGACUGAAACUCAAAGGAAUUGACGGGGGCCCGCACAAGCGGUGGAGUAUGUGGUUUAAUUCGAUGCAACGCGAAGAACCUUACCUGGUCUUGACAUGUCGAGAACUUUCCAGA